rnacentral:rRNA from 1 species
CCUACGUGUGACAGCAGUGAGGAAUAUUGGUCAAUGGGCGCGAGCCUGAACCAGCCAAGUAGCGUGAAGGAUGACUGCCCUACGGGUUGUAAACUUCUUUUAUAAAGGAAUAAAUUGCGGCGCGUGUCCCUUUUUGUAUGUCCUUUAUGAAUAAGGAUCGGCUAACUCCGUGCCAGCAGCCGCGGUAAUCCGGAGGAUCCGAGCGUUAUCCGGAUUUAUUGGGUUUAAAGGGAGCGUAGAUGGGUUGUUAAGUCAGUUGUGAAAGUUUGCGGCUCAACCGUAAAAUUGCAAUUGAUACUGGUAGUCUUGAGUACAGUUGAGGUAGGCGGAAUUCGUGGUGUAGCGGUGAAAUGCUUAGAUAUCAAGAAGAACUCCGAUUGCGAAGGCAGCUUACUAAACUGCAACUGACAUUGAUGCGCGAAAGUGUGGGUAUCAAACAGGAUUAGAUACCCGAGUAGUC